rnacentral:rRNA from 1 species
GACGAACGCUGGCGGCGUGCUUAACACAUGCAAGUCGAACGGACAGGCCAUGCUUUUGCUGGCUGCACGAGAGACGAAGGGGUGAGAACCACGGGAGUACCCUGCCCUUGCCUUUCGGGUAACUUCAGGAAACUAGGGCUAAUACCGGAUAGGAGCUCAUGCUGCUUGGUAGUGGAUGGUAAUUUACGGCGUUUGGGGAUGGCAUCGCGGCUUAUUGGCUUCUUGGUGGGGUAGUGGCUUACCAAGGCUAGGGCGGAUCGCCGGCCUGAGAGGGUGACCGGCCACAGUGGGCCUGGGAUACGGCCCAGACUGCAACGUGAGGCAGCAGUGGAAAAUAUUGCACAAUGGGCCGAAGCCUGAUGCAGCGACGCCGCGUGCGGGAUGACGGCCUUCAGGUUGUAAACCGCUUUCGACUGUGACGAAGCGUGAGUGACGGUAAUUGAUAAAGAAGCACCGGCUAACUACGUG